GGUGAGGUGAGGUGUAUUUAAAACCCAAAACAAAUGACAGAACUUGCAUCAAAUUAUGCAAAUAGGCCACUUGUUCAGAACUUCAGAAUUUCUUUUGU